GGAGAGGUGGCUGAGUGGUCGAAAGCGACGGUUUGCUAAACCGUUAGGUGGGGAAACCUGCCUCGCGGGUUCGAAUCCCGCCCUCUCCG
rnacentral:tRNA from 1 species